GUUCUUAGGGAUUUGCUAAAGGCUUGAAACGCCAAAGUGACAACCAUUUAAGAAGCAAGAAACUUAAGCAAGCUAUCCAUGGAGGAAUUAGUUGGUUCACUCAUGAUACAUGAGUUGAACAUGCACCUAAAUGAGGAAGAAGAUGAAUUAAAGAAGAAAAAGACCAUCGCAUUCAAAUCAACUAUUAAAUUCGAAGAAAGCAUUGAGUCGGAGGAUGAAAAUGAAAAAAAGAGUGAAGAUGGAGACGUGGGGCUACCCACUAGAAAAUUCAAAAGGUUCCUCAAGAAUGGUUAAAGAAAAAAAGAAGAAAAUACAUAUA
rnacentral:lncRNA from 1 species